ensembl:lncRNA
UAAGGAUGAGCUGUUUCAUUAAGGACCAAAGUAUUUUUCCGUAAAUGGGAAUCUAUGCAUUUUGUUUUUCUGUGUUAAAUAGAGUGUUUGGCUGCCUUCACUGUUGAAUAAUGCAUUUUACUCUUGUAUCUUAUUUCAGAGAACUGGGCAUUCCACACGGACAUUUGGCAGAUUUACCCAUGGCUCUCUAACCAGUAAACAUAUCUGUCAGCCACCCAGCAGUUUGGCUGGUGAUUUUAGACUCUAAUGGGUACG